rnacentral:rRNA from 1 species
AAUCCCGUGAACCAUUGAGUCUUUGAACGCAAGUUGCGCCCGAAGCCUUCGGGCCGAGGGCACGCCUGCCUGGGCGUCACGCAUCGCGUCGCCCCUUCCCCCCCGCUCCCCGGAGCGGGGGGUCGGAGACUGGCCUCCCGUGCGCUCCUGCCGAGCGGCCGGCCC